CAGUGGAUCUAAGUGAACCAUAACCUCCGUCACCAGAUGUCCCACUGAUUGCGCAAAAAACGUGUAAUGAGUCGUGCAUCCAGGGAGAAUGCAUAGUAUCUUCUUGGUACAUCUAAACAAAAACAAGAUUACUGUAAAAGGAAGGAGUGCAUCAGGUUGAUUUGCCAUCAUUGGGGAAAAAAAAGAAGCAGGUAUCAAUGGGGAGACAAAGAGUACCAACUAGGAGCCGAAUCUUUGGAGGAUAAGACCACUGAGGAUCUGGUUACACCUAACGCUUGUGGCACCUUACAUGCUCUAAGAAAUGCACACAAACUGAAUAUGGCAAGGUUGGAGAGAAAGUACAUCAAGCAACAGGAAAAUUGAUGGGACAAGUGCCAGCUGUGGGCAAGACUUGCCUUAUACUAAGUCCCAAGGGAGUGACCUCUUGACAUGGGCCAUGUCUCAGACUGGGGACAAGUCAGGAUUCAUGAAGCUGUUUCUGUCUGUCUUUUCCAGCCAUAUAGGCAUUGCUGUCAGUGAGGCCAAUGGGAUCAUCCAAGGACAGCAUGUGGCCCAUGGAGUACAGAAAAUCACCUGGCAUCACUGAAAGCCUGACCUCAAGAAUGCCUUCCCUGCAGAUUUGAUUGUGCAUUGAACCUGUUCUGAGGGAAAGUAACAUAUACAACUGCAUGCUGGAACAUAGCUCACAUUUCUUCUGUCUGGUUAGCAGCUGGAAAUGACGUGGAUUUAGGAAUGUGCCUGCACAGUACUUUGGGCUGUGAACCACUAAGAUAGGCAAGCACUGCGCAUUAAGCAAGUCAAGACAUGCUGGAGGUACAGUUUUAAUGUCUGAUUUCUCAUCUGCUUUCAAUGACUCAAUUCCACGGUCUACAGCAGAGCAGCUGGCGAUUGUAUAGGGCACAACUAAUUUCUCCUGGCUGGUGUCCUGCUGAAGUGGGUUUGGACACGUUGGGCUGCAUUGCCUCUUGGAAGAAAGCUCAAGGACCACGGGAGAAACAAGUAUCCGUCUGGGAACAGGAGAAAAUGUUUGCCUUGGGGCAGCUGAAGCUCUGGUGGCUCUGGGUCCCAAUUAGUGUCAGUUACCCCCAGGUCAAAGGAAGGGACUCAUUCAAGUUUUAAAAAAUCCUCAAAGCUUUGAAGCCUUCCCAAGUCUAAGGGCACCCAGAAACAGGGGCUUCUUUGGUGUGGAUGGUAGCUAUAAUCUUUGCUGAAUUGGGUCCCUAUUUAAGAGAUCUCUGUAUCUGCGGCAUCUCAUGGGAACUAUUAGCCUCCGGAUUCUUGCUUUAACUUAUUUUGUUUAACAUUCGUCAAUAAUACAGAGUGUGCAAAAGAAAUGAUACAACCCAUCACAUUGGCUCAUCACUCACAAACUAAGAAUUUCUUUACUAGCAGCCUGGGGAAUUCUCAUUAACACAAAGCCAAGCUCCAAAUAGCUACCUCAAAC